rnacentral:rRNA from 1 species
GACGAACGCUGGCGGCGUGCUUAACACAUGCAAGUCGAACGGAAAGGCCCUGCUUUUGUGGGGUGCUCGAGUGGCGAACGGGUGAGUAACACGUGAGUAACCUGCCCUUGACUUUGGGAUAACUUCAGGAAACUGGGGCUAAUACCGGCUAGGAGCUCCUGCUGCAUGGUGGGGGUUGGAAAGUUUCGGCGGUUGGGGAUGGACUCGCGGCUUAUCAGCUUGUUGGUGGGGUAGUGGCUUACCAAGGCUUUGACGGGUAGCCGGCCUGAGAGGGUGACCGGCCACAUUGGGACUGAGAUACGGCCCGGACUCCUACGGGAGGCAGCAGUGGGGAAUAUUGCACAAUGGGCGGAAGCCUGAUGCAGCAACGCCGCGUGCGGGAUGACGGCCUUCGGGUUGUAAACCGCUUUCGCCUGUGACGAAGCGUGAGUGACGGUAAUGGGUAAAGAAGCACCGGCUAACUACGUG